UGGCUGGCCUUUCUAGAGAGAAAUGGAGAGACAAUUCUCACCAAUUUUCUCCAAAACAAACCCUUAAUAAAUAAAAGGCUAUAAAGUCAUAUUUAUACCUUUAUUCAUUUGAGUGGCAAACUUGUAAUUAAAGCAAGUUCACUACCCUUUCUCUAUAUGGCCGGCCAUGGGGGUUUGUUUGGGCUUUUGGGUCUUAGUGAA
rnacentral:lncRNA from 1 species